CGGGAAUCAGAGAGCGGCGUACGGGUGCGGAACACGUGUGCAACCUGCCUUUAUCUGGGGGAUAGCCUUUCGAAAGGAAGAUUAAUACCCCAUAAUAUAUUGAGUGGCAUCACUUAAUAUUGAAAACUCCGGUGGAUAGAGAUGGGCACGCGCAAGAUUAGAUAGUUGGUGGGGUAACGGCCUACCAAGUCGAUGAUCUUUAGGGGGCCUGAGAGGGUGAUCCCCCACACUGGUACUGAGACACGGACCAGACUCCUACGGGAGGCAGCAGUGAGGAAUAUUGGACAAUGGGUGCAAGCCUGAUCCAGCCAUCCCGCGUGAAGGACGACGGCCCUAUGGGUUGUAAACUUCUUUUGUACAGGGAUAAACCUAGAUACGUGUAUCUAGCUGAAGGUACUGUACGAAUAAGCACCGGCUAACUCCGUGCCAGCAGCCGCGGUAAUACGGAGGGUGCAAGCGUUAUCCGGAUUUAUUGGGUUUAAAGGGUCCGUAGGCGGAUCAGUAAGUCAGUGGUGAAAUCUCAUAGCUUAACUAUGAAACUGCCAUUGAUACUGCUGGUCUUGAGUAAGGUAGAAGUAGCUGGAAUAAGUAGUGUAGCGGUGAAAUGCAUAGAUAUUACUUAGAACACCAAUUGCGAAGGCAGGUUAC
rnacentral:rRNA from 2 species